GAUGAACGCUGGCGGCGUGCCUAAUACAUGCAAGUCGAGCGAAUGGAUUAAGAGCUUGCUCUUAUGAAGUUAGCGGCGGACGGGUGAGUAACACGUGGGUAACCUGCCCAUAAGACUGGGAUAACUCCGGGAAACCGGGGCUAAUACCGGAUAAUAUUUUGAACUGCAUGGUUCAAAAUUGAAAGGCGGCUUCGGCUGUCACUUAUGGAUGGACCCGCGUCGCAUUAGCUAGUUGGGGAGGGAACGGCUCACCAAGGCAACGAGGCGUAGCCAACCUGAGAGGGUGAUCGGCCACACUGGGACUGAGACACGGCCCAGACUCCUACGGGAGGCAGCAGUAGGGAAUCUUCCGCAAUGGACGAAAGUCUGACGGAGCAACGCCGCGUGAGUGAUGAAGGUUUUCGGGUCGUAAAACUCUGUUGUUAGGGAAGAACAAGUGCUAGUUGAAUAAGCUGGCACCUUGACGGUACCUAACCAGAAAGCCACGGCUAACUACGUGCCAGCCGCCGCGGUAA
rnacentral:rRNA from 1 species